rnacentral:rRNA from 1 species
AGAGUUUGAUCAUGGCUCAGGAUGAACGCUAGCUACAGGCUUAACACAUGCAAGUCGAGGGGCAGCAUGUUGGUUGCUUGCAACCAACGAUGGCGACCGGCGCACGGGUGAGUAACGCGUAUCCAACCUACCCUUGUCCAUCGGAUAACCCGUCGAAAGGCGGCCUAACACGAUAUGCGGUUCACAGCAGGCAUCUAACGUGAACGAAAUGUAAAGGAGAAGGAUGGGGACGCGUCUGAUUAGCUUGUUGGCGGGGUAACGGCCACCAAGGCGACGAUCAGUAGGGGUUCUGAGNGGAAGGUCCCCCACAUUGGAACUGAGACACGGUCCAAACUCCUACGGGAGGCA